rnacentral:rRNA from 1 species
CCUACGGGGGGCUGCAGUGGGGAAUAUUGCACAAUGGGGGAAACCCUGAUGCAGCGACGCCGCGUGAAGGAAGAAGUAUCUCGGUAUGUAAACUUCUAUCAGCAGGGAAGAAAAUGACGGUACCUGACUAAGAAGCCCCGGCUAACUACGUGCCAGCAGCCGCGGUAAUACGUAGGGGGCAAGCGUUAUCCGGAUUUACUGGGUGUAAAGGGAGCGUAGACGGAAGGGCAAGUCUGGAGUGAAAGCCCGGGGCUCAACCCCGGGACUGCUUUGGAAACUGUCCGUCUUGAGUGCCGGAGAGGUAAGCGGAAUUCCUAGUGUAGCGGUGAAAUGCGUAGAUAUUAGGAGGAACACCAGUGGCGAAGGCGGCUUACUGGACGGUAACUGACGUUGAGGCUCGAAAGCGUGGGGAGCAAACAGGAUUAGAUACCCGGGUAGUC